GUGUGUGUCUUGUGUGUGUGUCUGUGUGUCUGUGUGUGUGUGUGUGUGUGUCUGUGUGUGUGUGUGUGUGUGUGUGUGUGUGUGUGUGUGUGUGUGUGUCUGUGUGUCUGUGUCUCCAGGAGUGUGUGCGGGUCAGAGGGGAGGAGUUUGUGACCUCACUGGCGGCUCUGACAGUGAAGCUGCUCCAUCAGUUGGACCACCUGCUCACACCUGCAGGUAACAUUUGACCUUUAACCUUUAACCACAUUAUGUUGUCAUGGUGAUUUACGAGCAGUUUAUUUUGUUUUAAUCCCUGUUAAUUGAUUAACUGUUAGUUUAUCACUUCAAUCUUGUAACUGUACUGCGGUCGUUACAGUCGACCAACCAGAGAACAGUGAGCUCAGAUACAGUCAGAUUAAAGUCCUCAUAUACCCGAGUAUCACCUGAACACACCACCACCUCACUGUGUUUGUGUUUCCAUAGAAACCAAGGCAGCGUUGUCACACCAGCAGCACUCUGAAGACGGUGCUGUUACCAUGGAGACGGGAGCUGAGACAGAGAGCAGGACCUGGUCUGGUAUCCCGUACCUCCUGCCCCCCACCGGCAGCUCUGCUGACCCACCCUCCAGUGUCACCACGGCAACAACAGCAUCCAUCACCAUGACCAGGUGCACCCUGGGACAUCUGGCUGUUAUAGAGCAGAGAGACACUGCUGUGAAGAGGUUUGAGCAGCUGUUCAGGUCGGAGUCGUCGCGUUCAGACGAAGACAAACGAAAACGACUGAGUGAACUACAGAGCUGGAAAACACACUGGAGACAGCAGAUACACACACUGACACACACACACACACACACACACAGACGACACACACACACACACACACACACACACACACACACACACACACACACACACACACACACACACACACACACACACACACACACACACACACACACAACACACACACACACACACACACACACACACACACACACACACUACACACUACACACACGUACACACAC
rnacentral:lncRNA from 15 species